AGUGGCUCAUUCAAUCUCUUAUGUCAGCGUCUUUUCAGACAGACUACAUAAACCGCCGAAUGACGCACAAAAAGGUGCCUGCCGUCCGAUUUUUUGAUAAAUGCCUUGCGGCUUAUCAUGCUCCGGGCGAAACGUUGAGUAAGGCGCCGCCUA
rnacentral:sRNA from 1 species